rnacentral:rRNA from 1 species
GAUGAACGCUGGCGGCGUGCCUAAUACAUGCAAGUCGAGCGAACGGACGAGAAGCUUGCUUCUCUGAUGUUAGCGGCGGACGGGUGAGUAACACGUGGAUAACCUACCUAUAAGACUGGGAUAACUUCGGGAAACCGGAGCUAAUACCGGAUAAUAUUUUGAACCGCAUGGUUCAAAAGUGAAAGACGGUCUUGCUGUCACUUAUAGAUGGAUCCGCGCUACAUUAGCUAGUUGGUAAGGUAACGGCUUACCAAGGCAACGAUGCAUAGCCGACCCGAGAGGGUGAUCGGCCACACUGGAACUGAGACACGGUCCAGACUCCUACGGGAGGCAGCAGUAGGGAAUCUUCCGCAAUGGGCGAAAGCCUGACGGAGCAACGCCGCGUGAGUGAUGAAGGUCUUCGGAUCGUAAAACUCUGUUAUUAGGGAAGAACAUAUGUGUAAGUAACUGUGCACAUCUUGACGGUACCUAAUCAGAAAGCCACGGCUAACUACGUG